AUGACUGUGGUCAGUAACUCAAGAUGACCUCUACUUGAUGCACUGUGUAAAUUGUCUGUGGUCAGCAACUCAAGAUGGCCACUACUUGAUGCACUGUGUACACUGACUUUGUGGUCAGUAACUCAAGAUGACCACUACUUGAUGCACUGUGUAAAUUGUCUGUGGUCAGUAAUUCUAGAUGACCACUACUUGAUGCACUGAGUAAAUUGUCUUUGUGGUCAAUAACUCAAGAUGACCACUACUUGUUGCACUGCGUAAAUUGGCUUUAUGGUCAGUAACUCAAGAUGACCACUACUUGAUGCACUGCAUAAAUUCUCUUUGUGGUCAGUAACUCUAGAUGACCACUACUUGAUGCACUGUGUAAAUUGACUUUGUGGUCAGUAACUCAAGAUGACCACUGUUUGAUGCACUGCAUAGACUGACUUUGUGGUCAGUGAGCAUCAGUUUGAUGAUAGCUGACCAUUAUUUGGCUGGUCCCUAUCUAAGGAUCACCCUGGCUACUGGUUAAUAACUAAGAAAUGUUCAGCUCUUAAAGAACAAACCCAGCCAUGAGCUGGCUUAGUCUGACUCACUGUUUCUUUGUCACUUUGUCACUGCAGACAGAGAACAUAAUCACUCUUAAUGGACAUACACAUCUUGACCACUGUCCAUUGAGAAUGGACUUCGCCACUGAUAAUGGUUGGUCAGUUCUUUAAGGGUGUAACUGGACAUUCCGUAGACACUGGCAGUGACUGGUCACUUAUUUAAGGGUGUAACUGGACAUUCUGUAGACACUGGCAGUGACUGGUCACUUAUUUAAGGGUGUAACUGGACAUUCUGUAGACACUGGCAGUGACUGGUCAGUUCUUUAAGGGUGUAACUGGACAUUCUGUAGACACUGGCAGUGACUGGUCAGUUCUUUAAGGGUGUAACUGGACAUUCUGUAGACACUGGCAGUGACUGGUCACUUAUUUAAGGGUGUAACUGGACAUUCCGUAAACACUGGCAGUGACUGGUCACUUAUUUAAGGGUGUAACUGGACAUUCCGUAGACACUGGCAGUGACUGCUCAGUUCUUUAAGGGGGUAACUGGACAUUCUGUAGACACUGGCAGUGAUUGCUCAGUUCUUUAAGGGGGUAACUGGACAUAUUAACUAACAUUUGGCAUUGCAUAGUAAGGAUAGAUGACCACUGGUCAGUAGAUGGACAGUUGUUAGUACUGACCAUUAAGAAUAGAAUGGACUCCAGUGGGUGAUCAAGCAGUGAUAUCUAACUGCAGCUAGCUCAAUCGUUCUUUACUGAAUUAUAGACUUGAUAUUCUGCUUUUAUCUUAAUAAUAUCUGAUGACAUGUUAACACCUUGUAGACCCUUGUUACAGAGAUUGGAGGAUGCAAGAAUAAACUGAACAACAAAUUUGCAUUGAAUGCAGGUUAAUGUAUAGGCUGCAUUUAUUUAGCUCUUUUUUUUUCUCUUUUUUUUUUUCAAAACUGCAUAUGUGUAUCUACAAAUAAGUAAAUACUGUUACCUCAUGGUAGGUAGCCUGCCUUUGAAACAACAAGGAAUCGCUGUGUAACUGGUAUUCAACACGGCAGCCACUCCGUACUGUGUACCAUUUUCACACUUACUUUUUUUUUUUUGCUGCUGCACAAAGCAGGACUUGUUUAUCCACUAGGAAUCCUACUGUAGAGGUCACUGAUUAUGAGGCUCAUAUGUGCAUACAGAAUGUUUCUUGUGCCUUAAACUAACAUUGAAACGUUUGCUCCACCACAAGAAGUCCCAGCAGCUUGUGUCGGCAGGCAGCCCGUUGGUGGUGGACUUGUGCAUGCACACCAGUUGUACUUCUGCUUGCACACCAGCUGAAACAGAAUACACAAUAACUAGAUAAAAUACAGUUCCACUGGUUGUGGGCUGCUGUCUCGGCGAGUGCAGCCCGUCUGCAGUUCUCGUCUGCUGGUUUGCGUCUGCUACAGAGUGUGGGCAGACGGCAGUUUACGUCUGUUAUCCACUCACUUGUGUCUGUGAUCAACCCCUCGGCCUAGAUUCAUCCUAGGCAGGUGAUCAGACCAGCCUCAGAGGUCACGUGUCCCAGAAAGCAUUUCUCACUGCCAGUUACUUCCUCUUGCUUGUAUGACCUCUAGUCCCAGCUAUAGAUUUGAGGAGUGGGGAUACUCAGCCAUUGGCGCGGAUAAUCUUCCACACUUUUCAAUUGUUUCACUGCGCCAGCAAUGUGGCUGGUGUCUGGCCAGGCCUGGUGAGAGGGGAUCUUGUCUACCUGGGAUGUGGAUGUAAGGAAAGCGAAGGGAGCCGUCCGUCUGGCAGGAUAAAUGUGGUCUCUGCUCUCUCUCCUCGUGUCUCAUACCGGAGUACUUAGAAGCAAAUGUGUUUCCACUGACCUCGUCUUAUGGUUGCCGUUUGGAAAAUAAGAUUCGUGUUCCCGCUUUUUUUAACUCUCUGCACCCGUUCCAUUUUAUGCUUGUGUGACUUUUCAGGUGCAAAUCACAGAUACUUUGAAGUAUCUGAAAUCAAUUCGCUUUCCAAAAUGGCUGCUUGCAGACUGCAGAUUUAGGUGUCAUCUCUGGGAUAUUUGGAUAUUGUGUUUCUGCCAUCAAGUAACAGGUGCCUUGCAUGGAUCCAGCCACACAACUAACCUGUUAAAGCCGUUUGUGUAAAUUUACACAAUGAUGAUGCAACAACACAGCAAGCCAAAUGGGUCUGAAAUGCAAGAGUGAUAACACUGACAGAUGUUACAAACAAACAUACAGAUGAACAGACGUACUAUUACAUGUCAGAAUGUAAAAAAUGGUAGACAGUCUUGACAGGCAGUUCGACUUGCUUCCCCGAUUGAAAUCCAUGAUGCUGUGUUUCUCUUGGGUGUGAUACGAACGUAACUCUGUGUGCUAGGAACCGUGUGCUGUCAGAAGACACUGUUUGGAAACAGUGUGUUGGCUGUUGGCUGUCAUCGGUGGCAGGACUGGUGUAAAGACUCCAAGUCCAGGAGACCAGAACGGUCUGCAGGGUGGAACUGCAGGUCCUACGCAGCAGGAUCUUAAAACAAAACCAAUGGCAGCGCUCGGGAUGUAAAACCACACGGAACGGCAACGAUUGGAUGAGCUACGCGCUAAAUCAUUGCUGGAUCUGUAUCAUUCAAAAUAUGGAUUUAUAUAAUGUGAUCCCAUGGAAUUAUACAUGGCCAGAUCGGUGGAUUAUAAAACCGUGUAUUUUCAGCAGCACCGGAGAACUACGUGAUUCUAGGUCUGAGGCAGAAUUAACCCUGGUGUGUCAAUGCUUGAUCACCAUCGACUCCCUUGGGAAGACAAUCAUCAGUUAAUGUUUGCAUUUACCAUAGGUUUGACACCCAAUAGCCGAUGUAUUUUUCGUGCUGGGGUGUUAUGUUGUUAAACAUCUGUUCUAUUUUGUUUAUUCUAUAGCCUGGGAGACAAGAUUAUGUUUUGGGUAGGAUGUAGCCGGGGUGUUAUGUUGUUAAACAUCUAUUCUAUUCUGUCUAUUUUAUAGCCUAGGAGACAAGAUUAUGUGUAGGCAGGAUGUAGGUGUGAUGGGUUGCAGGAUCGAUCCCCAUCAGUGGACCCACUGGCUUCUAUACCCUGUCCCAGCCAUUGUCCAUUGACAACAAGUUGUCCUGGAGUUGGGGUGGAGUUCACUGGUGGAGAACUAGCAUGAUGGCCAAUGGAUGAUGUCCUCGAUUGAUUUCUUUUGAUGUUUUCACUUAGUGCUACACAACUGUUGCAUAUCAAAGGCCAUGAUAUGUAUGUUGUCCUGUCUUUGGAAAAGUGCCUAUAAAAGAUAUUUUUCUGCAAUUCACAAAGAAUAAGAGUAGCAAGGGUCACAAUUACUAUAUAUUAAAGACGAAGGUUAAUGGUUAUGAGAGAGAACGAGGGUUAAUGGUUAGUGAGAGAAGCUAGGGGUUAAUCGUUAUGAGAGAGAAUGAAGGUUAAUGGUUAGUGAGAGAGAACGAGGGUUAAUGGUGAGAAAGAGAAUGAGGGUUAGUGAGAAAGAAUGUCUGUUAAUGGUUAGUGAGAGAGAUUCAGUGGAUCCAUUCAGCUGAUUGGGUUGUUUUUUUGUUCCAGCCAGUGCACGACAACUGGUCAAA